AAACUGAAGAGUUUGAUCAUGGCUCAGAUUGAACGCUGGCGGCAGGCCUAACACAUGCAAGUCGAGCGGUAGCACAGAGAAGCUUGCUUCUUGGGUGACGAG
rnacentral:rRNA from 1 species